AUUGACAUUUAUUAGUUAUUUUUUAUAGAUAACAUAAAUGUUUAGUAUUAAAAUUCGCGUCAUUUAAUUCAGUUUAAUAGUCUAGGCGCUAAAUUUCUCACAAGCUUUACUGACGAGCGACUAAUUAAUAAUGGUUAGACACUUUAUUCUC